AAUCCAUGGUGUGGACAAUCUCUCUGAUAGUCUAUGAAUCUUUCCCAAGCAUCAUAGAGGUCUUCUGUGUCUUCCUGCUGAACUUUUUGUAUCUCGUUCCUUAAAAGAUU
rnacentral:snoRNA from 1 species